UGGUAUACGGUAGGAUGUAGGCUUUGCCUGCUAUCUCUUACCCAUGUCUUUUGAGUACCUUACGUUUCCUCGGCGGGUCCGCCCGCCGAUUGGACAAUUUAAACCAUUUGCAGUUGCAAUCAGCGUCUGAAAAAACUUAAUAGUUACAACUUUCAACAACGGAUCUCUUGGUUCUGGCAUCGAUGAAGAACGCAGCGAAAUGCGAUAAGUAGUGUGAAUUGCAGAAUUCAGUGAAUCAUCGAAUCUUUGAACGCACAUUGCGCCCCUUGGUAUUCCAUGGGGCAUGCCUGUUCGAGCGUCAUUUGUACCUUCAAGCUCUGCUUGGUGUUGGGUGUUUGUCUCGCCUCUGCGUGUAGACUCGCCUCAAAACAAUUGGCAGCCGGCGUAUUGAUUUCGGAGCGCAGUACAUCUCGCGCUUUGCACUCAUAACGACGACGUCCAAAAGUACAUUUUUACACUCUUGACCUCGGAUCAGGUAGGGAUACCCGCUGAACUUAAG
rnacentral:rRNA from 1 species